GCGUGGAUAUCCACAUCGCCGUUCCUUCUCCAGCAGCGCUCUCCUUCUCCGCUCUUCUCUCUAUCCAUCCAGCGCUGCUCUCCUCCUCUUCUCUAUCCGUGCGACACACGCCGCCCACGGCGCUGCGUUCCCCGUUCCCCUCUCUCUUCUCCUCCCUCCUCCACAACUAACCAAGCACGACGAGCGACUGUGCAAGAGUCUUUUCACCAAAGCACCAACACCCUUUCCUUGACCGUGGCGCCUGGAUCGAGCACGGAUCCGACCCCCAAUCUGCAGCAGCUUUCUUCUGCAGCAUCUUGACGAUCCGAUUUCUCCGGCAGUCUCGCCUGCGACCGAUGCUUCACGUCUGCGUAUGGGCUUGUGGUGGCCGGGCCUGAGCGCGCGGGAGCUGGUUGGGCUCUCCGCGUUGAUCUGCACCAGGGCUCUCCGGGCUCCGGAUCGGCGUGGUCGUGGCCAGCCCUCCGACGAUGCCCUGCUGCGGGGGUUCGGGACCAGAUCUCGCCGGUGGGCGCGGGAGCUCGGCUUGAGGUUGUGGUGGCUGCCUCGGUAAGGGAAGGGGAGGUCAGAUGGCAUGCCAAACAGAUGCGUUGGCUCUUUGGCGAGGAGCAGGCUGCAUGCAUGCGUGAUCGAACUCAAGCUUGCAGCACGGCUCUUUUACCCUUCCUCACCCGAAGCGCGCGGUCUUCUUUGGUGGUUUCUAGAAGCAGUACACGAUCUUGCAUCAUGGCAUUUUCAUUUUAAAUUUUGCUUCAUCUCAACAUGCGAACACUAAAAGUAGCUUAAUGAAAUGGAUACAUCAUAAUCAAGCUUAAUUCCAAGAGCCCAGAUUACACAGUUUGUCUCCGCUCUACAUGCAUUUGGAUGUAGAAAUUGGAACCGCUGAACCCCACACCUAUUUGUGUUGUUUUAUGCUUUCGAGUAAAAUGCACCUGUGGUCAUUAUAUUUUACAGGCGGCAUCAUUUUAGUUAGUUACUUUGUAUUGAAAUCGACACCCUAAACUUUGCAAGAAGGGUGGCGACAAUGGGGAGGUGCAAGUGCUUCCAUGAUAGAGUUGUCUAGGUGGCAAACAUCAGCUCGGGUGUGUCUCUUAACUCUGUCGUUAGAUUUUUCUGAAGUCUUAGUGAACCGUUGGGUUUUCAUUGA